AAAAAAGAGCUGAAGAAAUGGUGAUUUGAGCACCUAUGAUUUCUCAUAGUUGUUUUUUGAGGAAAGAUCAAGACAGUUGAAAAUGGCUAUUCAUAUUAUGGAAACUUUUUCUCACAGAGCUUGAUAAUCAGGUAAAAUGCUGGAAGAUUAUUUGAUGUAUGAUAACAACAAGAGAUCCCAAGCAUCAAUUUAUUUUAAAAUUCUGGAAAAGAAUGCAUUUGACCCAAUUUUUGAAUAUUUAUUUUUUGUUUUUACUGUUAAAUAUUCUUCCCAAACACAAUUAGAUUUUAAUUCUCUACAGAAAUUUAUGUAUAAUAUAGAAUGUAAAGUGACAUAUUAAUCACUUAGAAUUUGGUCGGAAAUCAUAAAGUAUUUAAUAGGCAUAAUCUAGAAACCAAAUGUAGAUCAAAUAUACCCAGAAUUACAAAAAACCUUGACCUACAUUAAGGUGACUUUCCCUUGCUUAUGAAAUGAAAUAGGGUUUAAGAUCCUACUUUUCUGUGUUAAUAUGGUGAUUCUGCCCUACAACCUACUCUUAUAUCAAAUAUUUCAACUGUCAAGGGUUGUUUAAAGGGAACCCAGGAGGGCCGAAUGGUUAACACACGCACAUUGGAUCAGAAGGUCUGUCACUGAGUCAGAUAAUUCAAUUGUCAAGGGUUCUUUAAAGUAAACGCAGUGGGGGUAGUUUCAAUUCCGGGCUUAUACCCAAUUAUCCCUUGCCAUGUCCUACACUACUGACGUGUGGGAACUAUGUCGGAAAAUCCAAUUGAAAUUUCUCGGCCAAUGCCUUAUACUCACUGAACCACAGUGACUCCUCCUUGCUUUUGACUUGUGAUUAUUUAUAUAUAUUUUGUACAUAUUAUUUAAUGUUUGCGAUUUUCUCUGAUAUUUUUUUAUUUUUCAAUUCUGUAAUCUUGAUGCUUUGCUCCUUUUAUGUACAAAAUAUUCAUUUUGUUUGUUGUUUUUUUAAUGAGGAAAAGGUUCUACAUCAUUUUAUUACUCCUGCAAAAUAGUGCAUUUUUCUUUUGUUAGUUUUCUGUGUAUGCUAGUUAUUUCUAGAUGCCUCUCAAAUCACUUGUAAUAUGACUUUGUAGCACUUUUCAGUUUCUGAAAGUAUUUCAAUUUAGUGCAUAAUUAAUCUAAUUAGGGCUUGGUUUGGAUGUUAUUAAAUUUAGAUAUAUUUGAAUUAUAUAUUUUUGGGGUAUGGGGUAGGGAUCUUUCUUUUCUCAGUUCUUGUUUUCGGGUAAAGAAAAAAUUAAAUAGCUACUUUGUAUUUUGUGAUGUGGGGGGGGGGGGAGCAAAGUAUAACAAAAUUUUUAUUAGUAUUAGAAUUAUAUCUCUGUUUUUCUGUUAACAUUUCAAAUGAUGUCUAUUUAGUUUUGAUUUGGUGGUGUUAAUUUACUUUUUCCUAUCAUUUUAUGAAUAAAUGAUAAUUUAACAAAUAAAAUUAUUGUUACCUCAUUUAUCAAACUUUACAGGUUAAACAGAGCAAAAGGGGUGGGGGCUGCA